UAUAGGUGUAGCUGACGAGCGGCGGACGGGUGAGUUAAAGUCUGGGGAUCUGCCUGAUGGAGGGGGAUAACCACUGGAAACGGUGGCUAAUACCGCAUGAAGUCCCGAGACCAAAGUGGGGGACCUGCGGGCCUCACGCCAUCGGAUGAACCCACGAUGGGAUUAGCUGGUAGGUAGGGUAAUGGCCUACCUAGGCGACGAUCCCUAGCUGGUCUGAGAGGAUGACCAGCCACACUGGGACUGAGACACGGCCCAGACUCCUACGGGAGGUAGCUGUGGGGAAUAUUGCACAAUGGGCGCAAGCCUGAUGCAGCCAUGCCGCGUGAAUGAAGAAGGCUUUCGGGUUGUAAAGUACUUUCAGCGGGGAGGAAGAGUGCGGCCUGAAUAGGGCUGGACUUUGACGUUACCCGCAGAAGAAGCACCGGCUAACUCCGUGCCAGCAGCCGCGGUAAUACGGAGGGUGCAAGCGUUAAUCGGAAUGACUGGGCGUAAAGCGCACGCAGGCGGUCAAUUAAGUUAGAUGUGAAAUCCCCGGGCUUAACCUGGGAACGGCAUCUAAGACUGGUUGGCUAGAUGUCUCGUAGAGGGGGGUAAGAAUUCCAUGUGUAUGCGGUGUAAAUGCGUAUAAGAUUAGUGGAGGAAUACCGGGUGGCGAAGGCGGCCCCCUUGGACGAAAGACUGACGCUCAAGGUGCGAAAAGCGUGGGGAGCAAACAUGGAUUAUAUUC
rnacentral:rRNA from 1 species